rnacentral:rRNA from 1 species
UACGGGGGGGGGCGAGCGUUGUUCGGAAUUACUGGGCGUAAAGGGUUUGUAGGUGGUCUGCUAAGUCAGACGUGAAAUCCCUCAGCUUAACUGGGGAACUGCGUCUGAUACUGGCGGACUUGAGGACAGGAGAGGAACGCGGAAUUCCAGGUGUAGCGGUGAAAUGCGUAGAUAUCAGGAGGAACACCAAUUGCGAAGGCAGCUCGCUGGGACGUAACUGACGCUGAGACGCGAAAGCGUGGGGAGCAAACAGG